ensembl:lncRNA
GUCUGCUGUCGUCCUCCGUCGAAGAGUUUAAUCCAGUGAUUUAUCGCGCUUAGGCCUACAUCAUGCAAAUCAUGAUAAAAAAUAACUCGCAUAACAAUCAUAAAAAAAUACAUCAAUAUUAAAUAGGAUUAGGGCCAAUCCUCACAAACGCACAGAUCAAGUAAGUAAUUCCAUGAUUCUUACCUUAAAUCAGAAGUGACCACAGAGGCCUGGGGUCUUCUGUCUUUGCUUUCCGUCCUGUAACCCAGGAUGUUGAGGGUCGGUGACCGGCUUUAAUCCAAGAUGAUACAAAAGGCAGAGGGUCAAAUUGCUCCAAAGGGGGUCCAUUCAGAUCCACGAAGAGAAGCGAGGAGAGGCUUUGUUCACGCAACUUGUUGCGAUACUUGCUGUCAUUAGAAUUCAUGGAAGAAAAGAAUUCUCCACUCACUCCAUUGCUUUGUUGUCCAGUUGAAAGGUGUUGCAUGAUCAUGAUCGCCUGGUCCGCUGCAGGUCGCAGCGGUGGUUUCUGGCGCCAAAGUCUCGCUAUCCUCCAAUAAGUCUUAUUCCUGUCUGAUUUCAUCCUUUCACUUAUUCAUUCUGUAAAGCAGUUUCUGCUCUGGUUCUGAUGGUUGUUUCUGUCUCUGCAGUGUUUCAGACAGUGUUUGGUGUUUUUCAGGUUCAUUUGUGAUUAUCAUCACUGCAGAGGCUUUGCUUUUACUCCUGAUAGGACUUCCAUUGAUUAUAGUGGCUGUAUGGAAGAAAAAGAAGAAUAAAGGUCUGCUGUCGUCCUCCGUCGAAGAGUUUAAUCCAGUGAUUUAUGAACAGAUCAAAGACGCUGGACGUCAGUGUAAUCCAGAGGACAGAGACACAGAAACAACUGUAGUUUACAGCUGUGCUUCCUGAACUUGUGUCAUAUGUGACUCUACAGACCCGUCAGUGAGACUCGAGCAUCUCUUCAUCAACUCCACAACACAAACCAGUUCAAUUCAACUAAUAUAAUAUAACAUCAUAUGUAAUAUGAUACUAAAUAUGUAUAGUUUGGCAUCAUGUUGCAUGAUUUUGCAGUGGGCAGAA